AUUGAACGCUAGCGGGAUGCCUUACACAUGCAAGUCGAACGGAGGGGCGAACGGGUGAGGAAUGUAACGGAACGUGCCCAGGAGCGGGGGAUAACGACGCGAAAGCGUAGCUAAAACAGCAUACUCUUGGAGCGGCCGAUACCGGAUUAGCGAGAUGGUGGGGUAACGGCUCACAAAGGCGAAGAUCCGUAGCUGGUUUGUGAGGACGACCAGCCACACUGGGCCUGAGACACGGCCCAGACUCCUACGGGAGGCAGCAGUGGGGAAUUUUGGACAAUGGGGGAAACCCUGAUCCAGCCAUCCCGCGUGUGCGAUGAAGGCCUUCGGGUUUUAAAGCACUUUUGGCAGGAAAGCGGUACCUGCAGAAUAAGCACCGGCUAACUACGUGCCAGCAGCCGCGGUAAUAC
rnacentral:rRNA from 1 species